rnacentral:lncRNA from 1 species
AUUUUAUUUUUUAUUUUUAUGGGUACACAGUAGGUGUAUAUAUUUAUGGAACAUGAGAUGUUUUCAUACAGGCAUACAAUGCAUAAUAAUCACAUCAUGGAAGAUGGGGUAUUCAUCCCCUCAAGCAUUUUUGCUUUGUGUUACAAAAAAUUCAACUAUGCUCAUUUAGUUAUUUUUAAACGUAGCAUUAAAUUAUUAUUGACUAUAGUCACCCUGUUGUGCUAUCAAAUACUAGAUCUUAUUCAUUUAUUCUAACUAUUUCUUGGUACCAGUUAACCACCCCCACUUCUCCCUCAACCCCCCACUACCUUUCGCAUCCUCUGGUAAUGACCUGUCUACUCUCUUACUCUCUAUCUCCAUGGGUUCAAUUGUUUUGAUUUUUCGAUCCCACAAGUAAGUGGAAACGUGAUGUUUGUCUUUCUGUACCUGGCUUAUUUCACUUAACAUAAUGACAUCCAAUUACAUCCAUGUGGUUGCAAAUGACUGAAUCUUGUUCUUUUUAUGGCUGAAUUGUAUUUCAUUGUGUAUAAGUACCACAUUUUCUUUACCAUUCAUCUGUUGAAGGACAUGCAGUUUGCUUCCACAUCAUAGCUGUUGUAAACAGAGCUGCAACAGCUAAUUUCCUUUCUUUGGGGUAUAUACCCUGCAGUGGGAUGGCUGGCUCAUAUGGUAGCUCUAUUUUUAGGUUUUCUGACAAACCUCCAAACUGUUCUCCGUAGUGCUUGUAUUAAUUUAUUAAUUUACAUUACCACCAACAGUGUACGAGGGUUCUCUUUUGCUUGUGGCUGAGUUGACACUCGAACUACAAGACCCAGUCCUUCUCACUCUUCCCUCCCCUUUCCAAAGGCAGAGGAGCCUCACCCAGUGGAUAUCACUACCUCAGACCCCUGGGGACUGCUACUAGACUACCUCUGAUGUUCCCUUAAGGCUUAAAGGCUCUUCAGUCAGCUUGUAGUGAAUAUUACCUGGCUAGGACUCACCCUUCAGGGGAGUGAGCUCCUCUCUGGCAAUGGGAAGUACCAGAAAUGUCAUCCACAAGUCAAGUCCUGCAACUGGGGUCCCUAAGAGCCCACUUGGUACUCUAUUCCAUUGUGGCUGAGCUGAUACUUAAAGUGAAAAGCAAAGUUUCCUUUACUUUUCUGUUCACUUUUCUCAAGCAGGAGUCUCACCCUAAUCAGCUACAACAAUUGGAAAUGUGCCGAGUCUCUCCUAAGUCCAGCCAGUCUCAGCAUCUCACCUAAGACCUUUGAUGUAGUACCUGGAUAUCCCUGUUGGUUAUUCACAGCUCAGGGUCCCUUCAGGCAGCAAGUGAUGAAUCCUUCCAGGAAUGAGUCCUUCUCUUCAAGGCAAUGAAUUCCCUUCUUGCCUAGGGUGUGUCCAGAAAUGUCCAGGAGCUAGGGCCUGAAAUGAGGGUCUCACAACUCUGACCGGUGCUCUAUUCUGCUGUGGCUGAGCUGGUAUCCAAGAUGCAAGACAAAGUCUUCCCCACUAUUCCAUCUCCUCUCCUCAAGCAGAAGGAAGGAGUCUCUUUUACAGCCAGGAUUUUUGCAGCCUGGGCUUCGGGGAUGGGUGAGGCCAGCACUCCCUUAGCUGCCCCAGCUGGUGUCGCAGUAGGUCGCAUGCAACCACAGUCUACUGUCUCUUGGUCCAGUUCAAGUUGGCUAAAUGGGAGACGUAUUUUAUUAUUGCUCAAAUCAGCUUCCCCGGAAAUUUGAAAGCUAGGGUUUUUCAUGGAUGGUUUGGGGGAUGAAUGGGGCUGUUUUAGGCAAUAAGUCCU